rnacentral:rRNA from 1 species
AUACGGAGGGUGCGAGCGUUAAUCGGAAUUACUGGGCGUAAAGCGCGCGUAGGCGGUUUGGUCAGUCGGAUGUGAAAGCCCUAGGCUCAACCUGGGAAUGGCAUUCGAUACUGCCUGACUAGAGUAUGGUAGAGGGAAGUGGAAUUUCCGGUGUAGCGGUGAAAUGCGUAGAUAUCGGAAGGAACACCAGUGGCGAAGGCGACUUCCUGGGCCAAUACUGACGCUGAGGUGCGAAAGCGUGGGGAGCAAACAGGAUUAGAAACCCCUGUAGUCC